rnacentral:sRNA from 1 species
AUGUGGAGGAUAGGUAAGUUAGCUUCUUUUAUGUGAGAGAGUGAUCAAGAAAGAAAAUUCAUUGCAGAUUUAAGCAAGAAAUUCCAUGCUCCAUUGGGGAUUGUUGAAGCUGAAGCAAAUGCAUUUGAAGCUGGUAUAAUCUUUGCUAAGGAGGUGGGAAUUAGAGACUUGGUUUUAGAAGGGGACUCAUUGAUUAUUGUACAAGCUCUAAAGCAAGUUUCGAAUGCUCCAUCAACUGUUUCUAGUUUGAUCUUUGGGAUGUUAGUUGAAUGUAAUGAGUUUAGGAAAGUGUCUUUCUCUCAUGUUAAAAGGCAAGCAAAUAAGUUUGCUCAUUUAUUGGCAAAACAAGCUUUUGGCUUGGAUGAUUUCUCUGCUUAGAUUGAAGAGUGUCCUUAUUUUUUAGAAUAAGAUUUUGUUCAUGAUAUAUCUGUUUCUUUAUUUUCAUAAAUAAAAUUUUAGUCUUUCUAUCAAAAAAAAGAAAAGAAAAAGAAGAAGACUUCUUGCCCACGCAAAAAAAAAACUCGUAUAUAAAGCAAACUUUCUCACAUUUUCAUCACAUCAGCGAUUCUCUCACAAAAAAAAAUAAAUAAAUAAAAAAACGCUCACACUUUUAUUGCUCUCCAACGCUUUUGCUUGCUUUCACACUCUCACAAAACAAUGCCUCACCGAAGCUCUGGUGGUCGUGGUCCGUUUCGAAACCGUUUCUUUCUUUCUUUUUUUUUUUUUUUUUUUUAUCGUGGUCCGUUUCGAAACCGUUUCUUUCUUUAUUUUUUUUUUUUUUUUUUUUUGGGUGUUAUAUUUUCUCUCGGGUUGUGCUUGGAUCUGAGGAUUUCUUGGUAUAAAUUUUCUGAUGAUAUAACUUUUACCAUACUGUGAUCAUUUGAGUUUUGAGGAUUUUUUGUUCAAAGAAAAACAACUGAUAUAAUCAAGUCAGCUUUAUAUUUAAAUAUCAAUUAAAUAAAUUUAUUUAAUACUAUCCCAAUCAAGUUUAAUUUGGUGAAUUAAAACACAUAACUUGAUGUACAAAUACUAACCAAACCAAGCUUUUAGACGUGGGAAAAAUAGUGCACAAACUUUUUCCUGUGAUGAGGGUGGAGUCUUUUUAUAAAAGGGAUUGGGCUUUUUGUAAUGGCGGCCUUCGGCCCAGGCCUAGAGCUGGUCUUGGAUGUUAUAGAUUUGUUGAGAAUUAUUUGGAUAUUAUACAUUUGAAUUGAAGUCUUAAAGUACUUAUCAAAAAAAAAUAAAAAUUGAUGUCUUAAAGUUAAUAAAUCUUGAUGUGGUCAUCACCUCACCUGUGUCCUCAGACUCAAAUGUGUUGUGAGGAUUUUUAUUUUUAUACUAGCAGCUAAUUUGUGUUACACUUCAAAGUCCAAUCACAACAUACAUUGUAUUGUUAUUUUGCAGGAAGGUCAAGUUCCCGAAGUUCCCACCGUGCAGCCUGUGCCACGGCGAGUAAUACUCCUAAGCCAGGUAAAAUGAUGCGUGGAUUAUGUGAACCUUCUAUUGUGCAUGACUUGUUUGCUUAGUUUUCUAGAGGGUAUUCCUUUCUUUCUUAUGUUACUUUGUUUUUGCUUUUAUAGCCCUUUCCUUUGGGUAUGCCAAAAUGUUUUGUUUUAGCAUUUAUAUAAUGUAAUCCCAGUGACAUCUUCCCAUGGAAGUGUUCACUAGUCACAUGAAAUGAGGACAAGUCUGAAUCUGUCUUUUGGGAUCUUUAAUUUGAUUAUUUUCUUUUAUGCCAAAUACAAUUUUUGUUUGUGUUUUCUGUCAAUUCAGUGUGUUUGACAAUAUAGGGCGCUCAAUCAAUGUGUGGUGUGCUUUUAUUGUCUUUACCAUGAACAUUUGGGUAAGCACGUGCUAUUCUUGGGAAUGAGAGAAUUCCUGUUUGAGUAGUUGGGUUUGGUGUUUUUGGUAUAAUGAGGUAGAUGUCUAAUAUUGUCAUAUGCAAGACAAUGAACAUUCUUAUCAUUUUGAUGGUAUUACUUAGUGAUGUUGUCUUUCCUAUUUAAUUUUAUCUUAGUGUUUAAACUGUUUCGUUUCUAUAGCGGCUGCUGCUCCUCCUCAUACAGUGCCUGCACAAGGUCAAAGUGGGUCUGAAAGGGGAUCACUUGGUGCCACUUUUGUAAAUGGUGAGUAUUAAGUGUUUCUGAAUGCCACAAUUAUCUCUCUUAUGAAUUGAGAGAGAGAGAGAGAGAGUGAGUGUGUGUGUGUAUAUAUAUAUAUUUAUGAGUUCCUGGAAUCUUACAGCACUUUAUUUGUUGAUGCAUAGGCUUGGCCUUGGGUACUGGUACUUAUAUUGCUUACAGGGCUGUGGAUGCUCUGAUGGGUCCUCCUGUCAUUAAGCAAGAGACUGUUUGUGCUGAUCAAUCCAAGGCCUUUAUUGAUGUAUGAUUCUCCUCCUCAUACCACGUUGUCUAUGAGAUAUAUAUAUAUAUAUAUUUUUUUUAAUAAAUAUAAUUGUUUCUCUAAUUGAACUAUUUGGUUUCAAGUUGUUUUCCCUAGUUCUGAAUAAAUUCUUUUCUUUUCCUUUUGAGCCUUUUGGAAAUGCUUUUGGUCUGAAUGCGGAUAUCAAUCCAUUACAAACCAAUUCCUGUUUAUCUGCUAUCUUCAUUGUUUGACCAUGCUACGAGAGUUAUUUGAACUUGAUGCUGAAUUGGAUCAAACUGCUCAUAUCUAAUAAUUUGUCUCUAUCACACCUUCAGCACAUAUCCCAUGAUUUAGUCAAUAAAAUCUUUACUUAGCUAUCAAUAUAUAUAUAUAUAUAUAUAAUUCUUCAAGUGCUUCCUUCUAUGUUUCUCACCCUUUUUACCCAUUCUCAUUUUCUUUGCUACCUAGCUAUUUAGGUAUAACUUAUUUAUAAAAAAAAAAAAAGGCUAUUUGUGUUUAACAUGUUUUUCAAACUGUUGGGUACUAGUUUCUGAACAGUUGGAAAUCUUGGUGGUGGUAUUGAGUGGCCAAGUUUCUCAGCAAGACUAAGUUCAACAUUUUUUUUUGCCUUGCAGUGCCUAGAAGGUUACGGAAGUGACAUAAGCAAGUGCCAAGGCUACAUGGACUUGCUGCGCCGUUGCCGCCAAACUCACGCACAUUGA